rnacentral:lncRNA from 1 species
GCGGCGCAGCUGGCGACUGCUGCCACAGGCGGAGGCGGCGGCGGCCCGGUGAGUGCUGCCGGAUGCGCCGCGCGUACCGCCGGUUGCGGCGGGGUCCUGCGGGGCCGCCCGGCCUGCCUGGGGCCCACUCCUCGCUGCCAUGGCCAGCCUGCCGACCGGCGCCUGGUGCCGGGGGGCCGUCUCGCUGCGGCGGCGGCGGCGUCUGCCUCGGGGGCCGCGGCCCGUGGGGCUGCGGCGUGGCCCGGCCGAGGGGCCGGAGCUGCUGCCGGUCGUGCCACCGAGGGAGGCGGCAGAGGUGUGACGUGCUGGCGCGCCCGCCGGUAGCUGUGCACGGGGUCCCUUGCCAGAGGUGCUGCCUCGGCACCGCCGUGCGGGUGAGGCCUGGCCGUGCUUUCCUCAGGAUUCUGCACAUCCAGAGAAGAAAAUAUCUGCGAGUCACUGUUGAUGAUGUGUACUCCAAAAAGUCAGCUCAAGGUUUAGUGAAAAUCAAAAAGCAAAUAGAAUAUUAAGAAUUACCAGGUUGGGAUGCCAUCUUAUCUUUCAUAAAAACUAAAUGCCUUCUUGAUUCUCUCCAACCACAAGAGAAGAGGGGGACACAUCAUUGUGAGGGACAGAGCACUUAAAAAAGGAGGUAGGUAAAGGCAAAUAGCUCAAAAAUAAGGUAAUGGAGGGAAUGCUGAGCUGAGUACUCACUGCUCCCUGAGGCUGAGGUGUUGAUAAAUGAUGUUUUGAGUCAUGCUCUACCUGGAGAAAUGACAGGACAAGGGCCUGGAAAUAGAUUCUACAGUCAAUGAAUUUCCCCCAGACUUUCUCCACAAAAAAUUGUGUCUGACUGGCUUAAUAAUGGCCAGAAGGCAUUUGUUGAAGAGGUUACACAGUGGGACCUUGGAUGUGGAGGGUAUGAAUCAAAAGGUUGAUUGGGGGCAGGGUGCACRGAAAGUGCAACCAGUACUUCUAUAAGAGAUUCUGGAAGAACUGGAGGAGAGCAGAUGCCUAGGGUGCUAAGUGUAGAUGUCUGUCUGUCUUCUGAAAUACUAAACUAGAAUGUUGCCUUAAGUUUAUGUUUUUCAGACAUCUUUUCUCUCUAUCGUUGCAUUUCUCUGACCAAAAAGUCUCCUGAAUACAAACGUGUAUCCAGGUACUCGAUUUUCA